rnacentral:rRNA from 1 species
GAUGAACGCUGGCGGCGUGCCUAAUACAUGCAAGUCGAGCGAACGGACGAGAAGCCUGCUUCUCUGAUGUUAGCGGCGGACGGGUGAGUAACACGUGGAUAACCUACCUAUAAGACUGGGAUAACUUCGGGAAACCGGAGCUAAUACCGGAUAAUAUUUUGAACCGCAUGGUUCAAAAGUGAAAGACGGUCUUGCUGUCACUUAUAGAUGGAUCCGCGCUGCAUUAGCUAGUUGGUAAGGUAACGGCUUACCAAGGCAACGAUGCAUAGCCGACCUGAGAGGGUGAUCGGCCACACUGGAACUGAGACACGGUCCAGACUCCUACGGGAGGCAGCAGUAGGGAAUCUUCCGCAAUGGGCGAAAGCCUGACGGAGCAACGCCGCGUGAGUGAUGAAGGUCUUCGGAUCGUAAAACUCUGUUAUAGGGAAGAACAUAUGUGUAAGUAACUGUGCACAUCUUGACGGUACCUAAUCAGAAAGCCACGGCUAACUACGUG